CCACUUAAAUGAAAAUAUAAUCACACAAUAAAAAAAAAAUCUUAAAAUGGUGUACAUGAUGAAAGUCAUGACACCACCUUAAAAUCCUGUAAGAAAACAAAAAAAUUCAAUCGAUUCACAAAGCCUAUUAUCUAAUCACACUAUCGCAUAACCUAUUAGUAGAAUUGCGCAAGAAGUUGGAAUUAAAACAGAAGCAUUCCAACCAUGGUUCUAAAAACUGGACUGGCCUGUCGAACCAAACCAAUUAGAACCGGAAGCCUUUGCGGUUCAGUCCAUCAGGAGAAACUACCAUUUCAAAAAGACAAAAACCAUAUAAAAAUCGUUGAACCAGCCAGUUUACAUGAAAUGUCGUUUUAUGCUUCGUUUUGAAAAAAAAGGAAAAGCAAUCUGAUUCCUUCCUUGUUCCAGUGACCCAGCCCCUCUCUCCUUUUCUUUCCUUCACAAUUCAGAACCUUGCACUACCCUCUACCAAAAAAAAACCAUAGCCAUCUAGCCUCCACCACUGCCACCGCAAGGAGUGGGACACUGCAGCCAUCCAUCGCACUCAGGAGCUUCCCUCUUUGUCCUGUCGGCAUGCUCCAAAGCUCCAACCCCUGUUCACUCUCACCGAUCACAGCUUCUUCUUCAAGGUCAGCUCAGCAUUCGUCAUCUUCGUCUUCUUCCUUUUAAUCUCUUUGAUAUGUUCUGCGCAAAGAGAGCCUUAAUUUGACUAAUUUGCUUGUGUAUGAUUAAACCUUGUUACUUUAUGAAAGAAUGAACUACUUAACAUUCUAGAGCCUUAAUUUUCUUGUACCAGAGACAAUUUUUUUAUGUAUACCCAAUAUAAUUUGAAGGUAGCUUGUUAGGUUCUCUAUUUUGUUUGAUUGUGAUGUAUUUAACUUGGUGUGAGUAUUUUGUGAUGCUAUGGAAUAGAACAGAAUGUGUCAGAUUGAGCUAAAAGUAGGGUUAUAUUUGGAAGAUAAUUAUUCAUGUUUGGAUGUUUGUAGCAGCCAAAAAUUAAUUUUGAUUUAUUGAUGCCACAGGUUUUGGAGUUAUCAUGUGCUCUGGCACUUAUGUAAUUUGAUGAUUGCCUAUUACUGCUACUUUGAAUGUUCAUUCAGCGUGUGGCAAUGGUUAGCCUUUAUGUUUGUGAAUUUGAACUUGAUGGAUGAUUAUAUAAUAUACUUCUUGGUAGUAACACUUUUGUUUUAUCUAAAGAAAUGUCACUGUCUUUUGAACAAAAUUGAACUGAUCACUGAUUAUCUAUAUUUCACUCAUUUAGUAUAUAUUAGUUGAAUGAAUCAGUUCAUUUGAGAAUUUGAAGGAGCUGAAAUUUGAUAAUGAUAUAUCACAAAAUAGAAUUCAUUUGAGAAUUUGAGAUAUAACAAUAACAAAAAUUUUAUAGCAGUAUCUUGUCAUGAAUUUUACAGAAAAAUUAUUGUUGUAUAUUGUGUUUUAUAAGAAUUGUUAGGUUUACUAUAUGGAUACUCAUGGUCAGUCAUGGAUAUCGUAGCUAGCUACCCAGAGAUUUAGUAAUUGCUUAUUCAUCAUCAUCAUAUCAUGUUCUAAUUCUCCCUCCUAUAAAUGUGUGUACAAAAAAAAGUGUAAAAACAGCAGCAGCAGAAGCAUUAAAACAUCUAGAAAAUUAAAACAGAUGCAUUAAAAAUCUAGAAGUUGGAAUUCUCCCUGGCCAUAUUCGGCUAUGAGAAAAUUUAAACAGCACUACAACAUCACAGCAUUUCUCAUAUUCAACUAUGAGGAAAUUAAAACAGCAUUCCGGCAUUUUCACAGCAUCAAAGAGCAGCAUUUUCAAUGAAUGAACAGAAAUUAAAACAGAAGCAGAAGCAUUAAAACAUUAUAAACAUUUUCAAUUUUCUAUUCUAAACCUACAUUAAAACAAAAACAAUCAACUAUUAAAAAUUAAUAUAAAGUAACUAAAAAAAAAAAAUCAAAAGCUCACAUCUAUACUGCAGAAGCAGAACCCAAGUCACAGCAGAGAAGGUGGAGGCACGUCAAAGCACACUGCAGGGACAGACGAGUCACGAGGUGGGGCAAUGAAGGCGACAGACGGAGGUGAGCAGAGCAGCACACACGGAGACGAGCAGAUGAGCCGGCUAGAGAAGAGUACAGACCGUCGAGAGUGAGAGGCGAGCACCGGCGAGAGAGAGGCGAGCAUAGACCGGUCAGAGUGAGAGGUUGAGAGCUCUGUGACUGAACGAAAGUGUGAGAGCAUGAGGUUGGGGAAGAGAAGGGGGUGCCGUCCAAAUUAGAAAUUAGGGUUUUACUUUUUCUUAAU
rnacentral:lncRNA from 1 species